CAGCUGGUUUGAGGCAGGACAAGGGGAAAGUCUAGUCAGUGUCUGAACUCCCCUUCGCCCCAAACCUCCCACUGCUGCCUUCCAGUCUGUGCUGAGCAAACCUUGGGAAAUAUCAGCACCCACACUUGUUGGAAGCUCAGUGUCCUCCACGGGAGAAGCGUUGCCAGCCCUUUCCUCCUCUGAUUCUCACACGGGGAACCCUGCGCUGGGAAAUGGCAUCAUCUGCACAGACACACCAUGGCCAGCCAAGCAACAUCAGUGCCGUGUACCCAGGGGAGAAGAAGUCCUUGAUUCAGCAGACAUGACCAGGCCUGGCCAGAAAAUGGAUGUUGUUCCUGAAAGGCAGAGAGGGGACAAGGACAAACAGCUGAGCUGUUGGGUAGCAGUGUUGGGUCAGGCACUGCUCAAAGUGCAGCCCACACUGGCAGAGUGUGCAGACUGCUUGGGUUUUCUACAAAAAUGCCUUUUGACAGAGGUGUCCCUGCU
rnacentral:lncRNA from 1 species